rnacentral:rRNA from 1 species
CCUACGGGUGCAGCAGUGGGGAAUAUUGGACAAUGGGCGAAAGCCUGAUCCAGCCAUGCCGCGUGUGUGAAGAAGGCCUUCGGGUUGUAAAGCACUUUCAGUGGGGAAGAAAGCCUUGGGGCUAAUACCCUCGAGGAAGGACAUCACCCACAGAAGAAGCACCGGCUAACUCCGUGCCAGCAGCCGCGGUAAUACGGAGGGUGCGAGCGUUAAUCGGAAUUACUGGGCGUAAAGCGCGCGUAGGCGGUCUGAUAAGCCGGUUGUGAAAGCCCCGGGCUCAACCUGGGAACGGCAUCCGGAACUGUCAGGCUAGAGUGCAGGAGAGGAAGGUAGAAUUCCCGGUGUAGCGGUGAAAUGCGUAGAGAUCGGGAGGAAUACCAGUGGCGAAGGCGGCCUUCUGGACUGACACUGACGCUGAGGUGCGAAAGCGUGGGUAGCAAACAGGAUUAGAUACCCCAGAGUC